rnacentral:rRNA from 1 species
AACGAACGCUGGCGGCAGGCUUAACACAUGCAAGUCGAGCGCCCCGCAAGGGGAGUGGCAGACGGGUGAGUAACGCGUGGGAAUCUACCCAGAACUUCGGAACAACUGAGGGAAACUUCAGCUAAUACCGGAUACGCCCUACGGGGGAAAGAUUUAUCGGUUUUGGAUGAGCCCGCGUUGGAUUAGCUAGUUGGUGGGGUAAUGGCCUACCAAGGCGACGAUCCAUAGCUGGUCUGAGAGGAUGAUCAGCCACACUGGGACUGAGACACGGCCCAGACUCCUACGGGAGGCAGCAGUGGGGAAUAUUGGACAAUGGGCGAAAGCCUGAUCCAGCCAUGCCGCGUGAGUGAUGAAGGCCUUAGGGUUGUAAAGCUCUUUCAGUAGGGAAGAUAAUGACGGUACCUACAGAAGAAGCCCCGGCUAACUUCGUGCCAGCAGCCGCAGUAACAC